rnacentral:misc_RNA from 1 species
AAAAAAAAAUUGUUCUCUUUGUAAGUGAGAGAAAAAGGAAAAGAAUGAUCAAUUAUCUGACAUGGAUAGGAUUUGAUCCCAUGAUAUCUGAUUAGAAAUUUUCUUUGCAUAUGGAGCAUAUGAACUACAAUACAGCCUUUGUGAGUAAAAAAUGUGUACUCAACUACUCAUACACGCACUUAUAUUUUUGUGUGCAUGCAUGUAAAAUGUGCGAGAAAAAAAGGGUUGUUGGUGGGGUUGGAGCCCCAAGCAUUUGAUGCCAG